rnacentral:rRNA from 1 species
GGAGCCGUAGCGAAAGCGAGUUUUAACUGAGCGUUCAGUUACUUGACGUAGACCCGAAACCGGGCGACCUACCCAUGAGCAGGAUGAAGCGAAAGUAAAAUUUCGUGGAGGUCCGAACCCACGAGCGUUGAAAAGCUCGGGGAUGACUUGUGGGUAGCGGUGAAAUUCCAAUCGAGCCCGGAGAUAGCUGGUUCUCCCCGAAAUAGCUUUAGGGCUAGCCUCAAGGUGAGAGAUACGGAGGUAGAGCACUGAAUGUCCUAGGGGGUAUUGCACCUACCGAAGACUAUCAAACUCCGAAUGCCGUCAUCUUAUACUUGGGAGUCAGACUGUGGGUGAUAAGAUUCAUAGUCGAAAGGGCAACAGCCCAGAUCGUCAGCUAAGGUCCCUAAAUGUAAGUUAAGUGGUAAAGGAUGUGGGAUUGCACAGACAACCAGGAUGUUGGCUUAGAAGCAGCCACUCAUUCAAAGAGUGCGUAAUAGCUCACUGGUCGAGUGAUCCUGCGCCGAAGAUUUCCGGGGCUAAAACUUACUACCGAAGCUACGGCAUCAGUAAUGAUGGGUAGGGGAGCUUCCCAUACGGGUUGAAGCAUGACCGUAAGGACAUGUGGACAGUAUGGGAGUGAGAAUGUUGGCAUGAGUAGCGAGAUGUGGGUGAGAAUCCCACAGGCCGUAAACCCAAGGUUUCCAGGGGAAGGUUCGUCCGCCCUGGGUUAGUCGGGACCUAAGCUGAGGCCGAAAGGCGUAGGUGAUGGACAACAGGUUGAUAUUCCUGUACUACCGAUAACCGUUUGAGAGAAGGGAUGACACAGUAGGAUAAGCUAAGCACACUGUUGGUUAUGUGUGCCCAAGCAUUGAGGCAGUCAAAGUAGGCAAAUCCGCUUUGAUAAUGCUGGGAUGUGAUGGGGAGCGAAAUUUAGUAGCGAAGUAGCUGAUUUCACACUGUCAAGAAAAGUCUCUAUCGAGGUUAAAGGUACCCGUACCGCAAACCGACACAGGUGGGUGAGGAGAGUAUCCUAAGGCCAGCGAGAGAACUGUUGUUAAGGAACUCGGCAAAAUGACCCCGUAACUUAGGGAUAAGGGGUGCCACCAUCAGGUGGCCGCAGAGAAUAGGCCCAAGCGACUGUUUACCAAAAACAUAGGUUUCUGCUAAGUCGCAAGACGAUGUAUAGGAGCUGACGCCUGCCCGGUGCUGGAAGGUUAAGGGGAUCUGUUAGAGCAAUCGAAGCAGUGAACUUAAGCCCCAGUAAACGGCGGCCGUAACUAUAACGGUCCUAAGGUAGCGAAAUUCCUUGUCGGGUAAGUUCCGACCCGCACGAAAGGCGUAACGAUUUGGGCACUGUCUCAACAACAGACUCGGUGAAAUUGUAAUUCCGGUGAAGAUGCCGGAUACCUGCGACAGGACGGAAAGACCCCAUGGAGCUUUACUGUAGCUUGACAUUGGGUCUUGGUACUACAUGUACAGGAUAGGUGGGAGGCUUUGAAACCAGGACGCCAGUUUUGGCGGAGCCAUCCUUGGGAUACCACCCUUGUAGUACUGGGACUCUAACCAUAGGCCAUGAAUCUGGUCUUGGGACACUGUCAGGUGGGCAGUUUGACUGGGGCGGUCGCCUCCCAAAAGGUAACGGAGGCGCUCAAAGGUUCUCUCAGUACGGUCGGAAAUCGUACGUAGAGUGUAAAGGCAAAAGAGAGCUUGAUUGCAAGACAUACAGGUCGAGCAAGGAUGAAAAUCGGACUUAGUGAUCCGGUGGUUCUGCGUGGAAGGGCCAUCGCUCAACGGAUAAAAGCUACCCUGGGGAUAACAGGCUUAUCUCCCCCAAGAGUCCACAUCGACGGGGAGGUUUGGCACCUCGAUGUCGGCUCAUCACAUCCUGGGGCUGUAGUAGGUCCCAAGGGUUGGGCUGUUCGCCCAUUAAAGUGGUACGCGAGCUGGGUUCAGAACGUCGUGAGACAGUUCGGUCCCUAUCCGUCGCAGGCGUAGGAAAUUUGAGAAG